AGUGAAAUGGCAUACCAUAAAGCCCUGUGAAACAUCCCUCUGGCUUUCUUGAUCAAUUAUUUUAUACAGAUACAGACACAGCUAUAUUAUUCUAUUAUUUUUGAUGAUAUUAAUGUGUCAGCUCAACAAAAAAAUCUCCAUGUACAUAUUUAGUUAGAUCCUACACUCAUUAUUUGCAGUGUCAGAAUUUGCUCUUUUGUUUUUAAUGACAUAGCAUGAAACAUUUCCACCACCAUAUUCUCUCAGUGACAUCAAAACACAAAAACUUUGCAAUAAUGUAUUGUUUCAGGUGCUAGAAUCAUAAACCCAUCAGUGCUUUUGGACCAGUCUAGCCUCUUGAGAGGCAAAGAAACCAAGCACUUGUUGAAAUUCUGUGAAUUAUAUUAGGAGUGAAAUGACAGGAGAAUCGCUGGUGGACCCUUGAGUGGUACUGAUCUUCUCCAUUAGUAUAGUAAUGCCAUAAUAGAGACAGUGCUGGUGAGACAACAUUGCAAGAAAAUCUUUAUGUGGAAAGGUUAGUGACAACAGGAGAUAAAUCUGGUGGCACUCACCUGCUUACUUCUCAAAUGUCUGGCUUUUGAUAGUAGUAGGGAGUGGGAGGAACAAUAAUUGAAGUGAAGUUACUCUUCCACCUGCAAGGACACCUCUUGCCCUUCUGCAAAAGAAAUAGGCAGCCUGGAGCCAACAACCUUUUUUGUUGCACCAAUGACUGCCUCCACUUCCCUGCACUAACCUGGGGAAAGUAUAUCAGGUAUC